rnacentral:rRNA from 1 species
UGGUGCCAGCAGCCGCGGUAAUUCCAGCUCCAAUAGACGUACGUUAAAGUUGCUGACAGUUAAAAAGCUCGUAGUUGAACGUUCGGGUUCCGCGGACGGGGCCGCCCCGCGAGGGACGGCGCCGCCCCGGGGCUCGUGAUAUCUCAUCUCGCCGCCCGUCGCGAGGCGGACGGAGGGAUGGAUGAGGUUACCUGGAAAAAAUCGGGGGCGAUCUAGGGCGGGCGAACCUCGACCAACGAACGAUCGGACAUGGGAUAACGGAAGAGGGCGUCGGCUCGACUUCGUCGGUUCCUCGGGCCGAGGCACGUACGGUGAAUAGGGACGGUCGGGGCCGCCCGUACCGGGUCGUGAGAGGUGAAAUUCUAGGAUCGACCCGAGACGAACCGCCGCGAAAGCAUUCGGCAAGGACGCUUUCAUUAAUCAAGAACGAAAGUCGGGGGGAUCGAAGACGAUCAGAUACCGUCGUAGUCCCGACCGUAAACGAUGCCGACCGAGGGCCCGGAGGAGUUACGUACGACCCUCCGGGGCCCUCCCGCGAGAAAUCAGGAGUAUUCGGGUUCCGGGGGGGAGUAUGCCGCAAGGUUAAAAACUCAAAAGGAAUUGACGGG